rnacentral:rRNA from 1 species
UACGUAGGUGGCAAGCGUUGUCCGGAUUUAUUGGGUUUAAAGGGUGCGUAGGCGGUUCCAUAAGUCAGUGGUGAAAUACAAUAGCUUAACUAUUGAGGUGCCAUUGAUACUGCGGAACUUGAGUACAGACGAGGUAGGCGGAAUUGACGGUGUAGCGGUGAAAUGCUUAGAUAUCGUCAAGAACACCGAUAGCGAAGGCAGCUUACUAGACUGUAACUGACGCUGAGGCACGAAAAGUGUGGGGGAUCAAACAGG